rnacentral:lncRNA from 1 species
UACCCAUAUUCCGAUCAUUCUAAUUUUCCUACGACUCUCCACUCUUUCAAUGAACCGUCACAAAACACCGCAACCUCAUCUUCACAUCAACAAUAACAAAUAUAAAUACGUUAGACCGUUAGUAGCAAAGUGUAAAUAUAAAAAUAAAAAAGAGGAGCAGUGGGUGGCCUGGCCUGCAUGCGAAGGCUGGAAGAGGGGCAUCAAUGAAUGAAACAACGUGCUUUUCUGUGUCUAUAGAUUCCAUAAUCCUCCAAUCUGUCUCUCUCUACCUGCAACAUUUGUCUCUCUCUCUCUUAACAUUUUAUUUAUUUAUUUAUUUGUUUGUUUGUUUUUCAAUUCUACUUUUUAACAGCUUCAAGAUGCCUUUUGCUUAAAGUUAAUCAUAUUUUUUUAUUCAGUUUCAUCCCUG